UACGUAGGCAGCGAGCGUUGUUCGGAGUUACUGGGCGUAAAGCGUGCGUAGGCGGUUGUCUAAGUCUGGUGUGAAAUCUCCCGGCUCAACUGGGAGGGUGCGCCGGAAACUGGAUGACUGGAGUGCCGGAGAGGUAAGCGGAAUUCCUGGUGUAGCGGUGGAAUGCGCAGAUAUCAGGAGGAACACCGGUGGCGAAGGCGGGUCUCUGGGCAGUAACUGACGCUGAGGAGCGAAAGCGUGGGGAGCGAACAGG
rnacentral:rRNA from 1 species